ACAAAAAGCAAUCCGCACACUAAAUCAUGGGCAAGAAAGACAAGAAUAAGGAACCGGCGGAUGCUGCAGCAGCUGGCGAUGCACCACCCGUUGAUGGCCCACCGGCGGGCGAGGGCGGAGAUGGUGAGAUUGUGGGCGGACCACGCAAUCCCCAACAAAUUGCGGCACAGAAGCGCUUGCAACAGACGCAGGCUCAAGUUGAUGAGGUUGUAGAUAUUAUGCGCACGAAUGUGGAAAAGGUGCUGGAGCGUGAUGCCAAGCUCUCGGAGCUAGAUGAUCGUGCCGAUGCCUUGCAGCAGGGCGCCUCGCAAUUCGAGCAGCAGGCUGGCAAGCUAAAACGAAAGUUCUGGUUGCAAAACUUGAAGAUGAUGAUCAUAAUGGGCGUUAUUGGACUGGUUAUCGUUGGCAUUAUAGCAAAGAAAGACGAAGAGAAAUAAAAUUAAAAGCAAAAAAUUUGUGCAAGCUUUUAGCUUUAUGUUAUGUUUACCAAUACGAACUAUUCAAAUGAACAAAUUCUUUAAACUAUUAUGAUUUAAGAUAAGCUGGGCCUCAUAGGCGGUGAGCAGCCGCCGCAGUAUCCACAGUAUCCGCAGUAUAUGCCACCACCACCACCGCAACAACAGCAGCCACCUGCCGGCGGACAAUCGGCGCUGGUUGAUGAUGGGACCGGAACAGGCGCUGCAGCUGACGCCGGGGCUGGAGCAGGUUCCCAUGCGGG
rnacentral:misc_RNA from 1 species